AAAUAGGGAUCUUGAGGAGGAAAUGGAGAUUCUUACAGACCCCCUGCCGACACAACUAUUCACAGUAGCACACACAGACGCUCAAGAAUCAGGUUUUACAACUGGACACUUUUCCUGGAGCAACCAUGCAACCUAGAGGUUCGGGAAAAGCUAAAAAGACACUUCAGCAACAACCAGGGAAAGGGACUUCCACUCCAGUCGACCUCCAUUAGAUUUUCUCUGAGGACCCUUCAGGAGCAAAACAUCCCAAGAAAGUCAGAGGACGUGAGGCUCCCGACUGAUCUCGGAUGGUUUGCGGAUGUUGGAGGGGCAGGAUGGCCCUUCCCAGAUGCUUGAUCCCGGCUAGGCAGCGCCCCCGAAGCCACCAGCACUCACCAGUAAGUGAGAAUGGAGGAAAGGGGAACCAACCUUUCCCCGUUAUUUUUGGUAAAAGUGCGGAAGAGGCAACUCCCUCCAGGUGGAUGUAAGAGGGGAUCCUUAUUCAUAAAUGUGGGGGAGGGGAGCCAGCCACUCACCAGAGGAAGGGGGAAGGGAAAAAAGAGGGACGAGUCUAGGGUGGAAAAGAGGACUAGGAGGGUGAGGCGGACUGAUUUCAGAACCCCUCCCCUUUCGGGAGCCAGAGGUGUGGGGAGCGCCUCCCUCCAACCUCCGAUCAGACGCACAGAUUACUCCGAAAACUCCGGGAACUUACACAGGAUCAUCGACGUAAAGAGAAGCAACUCUGUACUGCCGACUUUCGCCUUUGUACCCAUCACGAUCAAGAUCCCGAUGCGACAGCAGUCACUGCGACCCUAGAAAGAGACACCAGCUUCGCCCACAGCAGCGCGGGGACUAAACUCCAGACGCCAGGUUGAGCCCAGCCCGGCCCUUCCCUUCACGCCCGAUUGGUCGGCGCCGCUCCUCUGCACUUUCCGAUUGGUGGAGGGAGCCGCCGCUCCUCUGAGUGAUUCACCGUCGCCAGGUGCAGCCCCGCCCACUACUCCCCGUAAGGCGGAUUGGAGCCUUUCCAAGCCCAAUCCGCCCCUGAUUGGGCCAGGAGACUGUCGCGUACGGAGACCCAGGCCUCACCUUCUGCAGGUGAGGACUCUCUGAUUGGGCGGCGUUCCUGAAGUAGGGACUUUAUGACUGGCUAGGCUCUGAACUGGAGCCGGAAGAUUAUCAGAGGAACACCUUAAAGGAUGUGGUCGGGAAGGUGGUUGGUCUGUGGGACGCGAGAGAGAGAGGCCUGCUUUUGUUUGUUCGUUGUAAUGGUCUGUUUGUUUAUUCGGAAUGUAAGUUGCAGCUGCAGAAACCUUGGUCAAGUCCUUUGUCAAGUGAAAACCACGUGUAUUAAUAUGUGAGGGUCGGGAGAGAAGACCCUCAAAGUGUGUUCCUCUGCCCACUCCACUCGCAGGAUUCAAGGCCGCGCUAGAGGAGGAAAGGGAAGAGGGGAAUGUAGCGCUCAGUUCGGUAGUGGGAAGGGCAGAAUCGAAUCACCAAACACACCCAGAUAAUAGAAACUGACCUACAGACGCUCUAUAAA